AGUAUAAGCAAUCUAUACAGUGAAACUGCGAAUGGCUCAUUAAAUCAGUUAUCGUUUAUUUGAUAGUACCUUACUACUUGGAUAACCGUGGUAAUUCUAGAGCUAAUACAUGCUAAAAAUCCCGACCCCCGGAAGGGAUGUAUUUAUUAGAUAAAAAACCAAUGCCUUCGGGCUCCUUGGUGAUUCAUGAUAACUUAACGAAUCGCAUGGCCUUGCGCCGGCGAUGGUUCAUUCAAAUUUCUGCCCUAUCAAGUUUCGAUGGUAGGAUAGUGGCCUACCAUGCUUUCAACGGGUAACGGGGAAUUAGGGUUCUAUUCCGGAGAGGGAGCCUGAGAAACGGCUACCACAUCCAAGGAAGGCAGCAGGCGCGCAAAUUACCCAAUCCCGACACGGGGAGGUAGUGACAAUAAAUACUGAUACAGGGCUCUUUGUGGUCUUGUAAUUGGAAUGAGUACGAUCUAAAAACUCUAACGAGGAACAAUUGGAGGGCAAGUCUGGUGCCAGCAGCCGCGGUAAUUCCAGCUCCAAUAGCGUAUAUUAAAGUUGUUGCAGUUAAAAAGCUCGUAGUUGAACCUUGGGCCGGGGUGGUGGGUCCGCCUCACCGCGUGCACUCGCCCGCCCUGGCCUUUCCUUCUGGCUAACCCCAUGCCCUUCACUGGGUGUGGCGGGGAACCAGGACUUUUACUUUGAAAAAAUUAGAGUGUUCAAAGCAGGCAUAUGCUCGAAUACAUUAGCAUGGAAUAAUAGAAUAGGACGUGUGGUUCUAUUUUGUUGGUUUCUAGGACCACCGUAAUGAUUAAUAGGGAUAGUCGGGGGCAUCCGUAUUCAACUGUCAGAGGUGAAAUUCUUGGAUUUGUUGAAGACGAACUACUGCGAAAGCAUUUGCCAAGGAUGUUUUCAUUAAUCAGGAACGAAAGUUGAGGGAUCGAAGACGAUCAGAUACCGUCGUAGUCUCAACCAUAAACUAUGCCGACUAGGGAUCGGGCGACGUUCUUAUUUUGACCCGCUCGGAACCUUACGAGAAAUCAAAGUCUUUGGGUC
rnacentral:rRNA from 1 species